UGAAGCUUCACCGCUUCACCACAGUACCUGAAGGAGCUCUGCUAGAUUCUCCUGCGAAGAAGGAACCCGUCGGUAGAAUAGGUCCUCGUCACCCUCGUGAACAGUAUGGAACCUUCCCCUUCGUUAUCGUCGUGAACCCUAGGGUUUACUCUCUACUAUUCAUCCAGAAGGAGCUCUGCUAGAUUCGCCUGCAAAGAAGGAAACCUACGGCAGAAUAGGGCCUCCUCAGCCUCUGAAAUAGUACGAAUCCUUCCCCAUCUUCAUCCUCGUGAACCCUAGGGUUUACUAUCUACUUUUCAUCCUUGUGAACCCAUGCGGCAGAUUCGCUUCAUUAUUGCAGAGAUUCGUCCAGAUUCGUCGAUAAGUCACCUCCAAAGAUAAAGGCUAGGUUUCCCCCUCAAAUCUGAAGAGUAUACCAUCAUAUAUUCUCUAUUUGAAGGUCCUGCUGCUCCUCCCACAACUGAUCUCUCACAUCUGCUCGGUAAGAACUAAGGUCCCAUCAAUUUUUCUUUAAACCCUGUCAUCAGCGAAUGGCAACUUGUCUCCAGCGAUUCUGAAGCAUCAAUUUCAUAGGAACUACACAUUGUGCCGUUCAAUUGAAAGGGAGGAAUCAAAAGUUGCCUUCCAGGUAAAAUUUGGGAUUUUUCUCAUGAUAGUAGAGGAUUUUGGACUGAUAUUAAUGAAAUUGGCCCCUAAUUUCCACAUCCACCAUGCUAAGGGUUUUUUCUGUAGAUGAAUUCUGCACAAAGGGGGUUCUAUUUUUUCGGUUCUUUUGAAUGCUGAAAUUUCCAUAUCCAUGUCAAAGAUAUCAUUUCGAUUCCCUGUUGUUUGUAUAGUAGAUUAAGAAAUAUAUUCAUUUGUUGUUGAUGUUGUUCAUGUGAAUUGAUUGUCUUUCUACCUACAAUAUGGCUCAUUUUACUGCAAGUACCUACAUUUCCUUAAUUGUUUUAUCAUCUUCCAGCUUUACAUGUAAUAAAGUUGAAGUGGAGAAAUUGGGUGAUAGUAGAAGGGAUCUGAAUUUUUUUUUUUAGAGAAGUAAUGAGAAGGGAAGAAAAUCCAGAGAGGGACAAAGGGGAGCUUUGGUGACCUUUUGUUCUUCUUCUUCUUCAACCUCUGUUGGGUCCAAGCUGAAUUUGGUAUGAUUUCUGGGUUCUUAAACCUUGAUCAGUUCAUGCAUUUCGGAAUUUGUUUUGGGUAGUCAAGCAUCGGCAAAUAUAUUCAGUCAUCGAGCCCCGCCCCAAAGGGCAAGAACCCCACUCAAAAUUGUUAAUUAGUUGAGUGAAAUCCCAAAACCCGAGGCUGAAGAUACCCAAUUAUGAACAGGGGCAUUUUGAUCUCUGGAUAUGAUCUCAGGGGAGAAAGUGACCCCAAAUAUCAUGAAGAAGAGGUGACACCUACGCUGAUCAAGAGCCAAGAGCCCCACUUUAAGCAAGGGUAAACCAAAGAGAUGAUUCUUGCAAUUAGGCCAUAUUCAUCCCUAUGAUCCUUUAUAUUUCAACUAUUUUAAGAAGCAGAAGCUUAACUGUUUCUGGUAAGUAAUAACUAAUUUGAAAUGACCUUCCCAAAAAAAAAAAAAAAAUUGAUGUCUGCAUGAUCCAUUAAGUAACAAAGUUUGAACACAAUCCUAUAAUAUAAACAAGUUACAUUGUUAUUAGUUAACAAAAGAAUGCAAAUUUCAUCUAAUGUAUUGGAAAUUGGACAUCGGAGUUCUACAAUCUUUAAGACACAGUUGCAGUGUUUGAGAAAUGGAUAUUAGUGUAAAAGCAAGAAUGAAUUAAAACAAAUUUGGCAGGCAAUGGGACAGAGCCCCUUAUACAAAUGUGGUCUAGUCAACUCAGCCAAGCCAAUUCAUUGGCCACCCCAAGAGCCAACAUAAUUUUUCAUUAAAAAUAGACUGCUACCAUCAGAAGUUAAGAUCUAAGAGAUUAGGUAUCUACCUUUGUUAUUAUUUGAGUUUAACUUUAUUUUGUAAAUUUUUUUCUACUUACUACUAGGUGUAUCUUAUUUGGGUCCACUUCUCUCCAUAAUACAGCCUGAUAUAUGUAGGUAUGUUUCUCACAUGGAAUUUUUCCAACCUUGAAUAUACUAAAUGCAGAAAAAGUAUCUAAAAAAGUGAAUGUGUGCAGUAUAUGUUUACAUUUAAUAAUAUAUUUAUGCUGUAAUUUCAUAUGCAAGCCAUAUUUUUGAAUUCCUAAAUAUAACUUCUUCAUAUUGGUCAGUGUUUGUCCUUAAACUUCAGAAUUUCCCGAUCGUGGUCAUAGCAGAAGUUUUCAAUUGCAUCCCUCUCUAUGACAUUCACAUCCCAUCCCUUGUAGCUGAUAUCUGUGCCCUUCAUAAAAACAAGGUAUGAGAUCUCCAAGAACCAAACCCCUAAAAGUACUACUAUAAUCUGGAAUGAAGCAGAGCUAAGAUCAUUCAUCAAUCACAUGGUUGAGAAUGUCCGAAAAGGUUUGAAGACAAACUCAACAUUCACAAAGGUUGGUCGGGACAACAUUACAAAAGGGCGUGAAGCCGAAUUCAAAAGGCCCUUUGCGAAGCAGCAACUGCGUAAUAAGAUGAAUAAGUUCCGCAUGAAGUACAACAGCUUCAGGCCUUUGUUAGAAACAACUAGUUUCGGAUGGGAUGCAAAUGCUCGGACUGCGACAACUGAUGAUUCAGUGUGGGAAUAUGCUACUCAAGUAUGAUAUAAUCUUUGGUUUAUAGAAUGGAUUUUUAUUCACUUUUUGAACAAAAUGUGAUGAUUAAUUGAAAUUUUUUUGAAUUUUAGGGAAACAAAGAUUGGGCAAAGUAUAGAAUAAAUGGUCUCCCCUUGUAGCUAGAGUUGUUAGAGAUCUUCUCUGACUCUAGUGCCUGUGGGAAUAGAGGUCUGUCACAGGCAACUGUUGUAACUCCUACGUCCACUAACCUUGAAAUUGAUGAUGAUUUACAGGACAUUGAUAAUGAUGACAGUGAUGCUUGUACUGGGACACCCAAGGGGUCAGCUCCUUCGAAGCGGCGACUUGAUGGGACUCCUACGGAUCGUAGGAGGAAGAGCCAGACACGGACCCUCAUGAACUCCGUUGAGGACUUUAGAACCUUUAUCCAAUGGAGGAUGGAAAAUGGAUCCACCACUACCACCACAAUAGUUAUCUGACCUCCUGACCCUAUUGUUGAUGGACCAUAUAGCAUGAUGGGCUAUCAGAAGCUACUAGACAUUUUAGAGAAUAUCCCGACGGAUUUGUAAGUGUUGGCAUAGCGUAAGACACACAGUGACCUUGGAUGGCGCAUGUCUUUUGUUGAAGUGAGACCUGACAGGAGGUUAUGGAUGCUACAUGGUUUGAAGGAGUGGAAGUAACCGUUUUUGAAAUGAAUGGUUUUAAGGGAGAAUGAAUGACUUGUUAGUUUGUUUGGAUUUUAUAUGCCUCGUACUGACUAACACACUUAAUAUGUUUUGCCUACUAUGAAUGAUAUUGAUGUUUGACUUAUGUUGCUUUGUUAUAAUUUGAUUGCAUGUGCUUCAGACUUA